CCCUGGUUAGCUCAGUUGGUAGAGAGCUCCACUUGUAAUGGAGAGGUCCCGGGUUCGAUACCCGGACCAGGCG
rnacentral:tRNA from 2 species